rnacentral:tRNA from 1 species
GCGGAAGUAGCUCAGUGGUAGAGCGCCUCCCUCCCAAGGAGGAGAUCGCGAGUUCGAAUCUCGUCUUCCGCUCCA